CUUAAUGUGGCAGAUUAGUGCAAUGAAUUUAAGCUUCAUUUAUAAAGAGUAUUCUUUCAUUAAGA
rnacentral:tRNA from 1 species